CUGGCGGCGUGCCUAACACAUGCAAGUCGAACGGACGAGGGGAGCUUGCUCCCCAAGUUAGUGGCGGACGGGUGAGUAACACGUGAGCAACCUGCCCUUCGGAGGGGGACAACAGCGGGAAACUGCUGCUAAUACCGCAUAAUGUAUCCUGGAGGCAUCUCCGGGAUACCAAAGAUUUUAUCGCCGAAGGAUGGGCUCGCGUCUGAUUAGAUAGUUGGUGGGGCAACGGCCCACCAAGUCUGCGAUCAGUAGCCGGACUGAGAGGUUGAACGGCCACAUUGGGACUGAGAUACGGCCCAGACUCCUACGGGAGGCAGCAGUGGGGAAUAUUGGGCAAUGGGGGGCAACCCUGACCCAGCAACGCCGCGUGGAGGAAGAAGGCUUUCGGGUUGUAAACUCCUUUGACGAGGGACGAUGAUGACGGUACCUCGAAAACAAGCCACGGCUAACUACGUGCCAGCCGCCGC
rnacentral:rRNA from 1 species